GAUCUUUGUUGCUUUAAAGUCUAUUUUAUCAGAGACGAGAAUUGCAACUCCUGCUUUUUUUUGCUCUCCAUUUGCUUGGUAAAUCUUCCUCCAUCCCUUUAUUUUGAGCCUUUAUGUAUCCUUGCCUGUGAGAUGGGUUUCCUGGAUACAGCACACUGAUGGGUUUUGGAUUUUUAUCCAAUUUGCCAGUCUUUGUCUUUUGAUUGGUGCAUUUAGUCCAUUUACAUUUAGGGUUAAUAUUGUUAUGUGUGAAUUUGAUACUGCCAUUUUGAUGCUAGCUGGCUGUUUUGCCUGUUAGUUGAUGCAGAUUCUUCUUUUUGUUGAUGCUCUUUAGCAUUUGGUAUAUUUUUGGAAUGGCUGGUACUGGGUGUUCCUUUCUAUGUAUAGUCCCUCUUUCAGGAGCUCUUGUAAAGCAGGGCUGGUGGUGACAAAAUCUCUGAGUACUUGCUUGUUUGCAAAGGAUUUUAUUUUUCCUUCACUUAUGAAGCUCAUUUUGGCUGGAUAUGAAAUUCUGGCUUGAAAGUUCUUUUCUUUAAGGAUGUUGAAUAUUGGCUCCCACUCUCUUCUGGCUUGUAGAGUUUCUGCUGAGAGAUCUGCUUGGGGAGUUUAUCCAUGCUCCAAGCUGAUCCCGACCAGGCCAGCUGCUUCACUUAUCUCUUCUUCCAUGCCUCCGAGGCUCCCUGUUGAAUCCCACCAUUCUCUCUUAGACAAGGGAGUCCACCUGUGGUUAUCUCCUCAGGCACUGGGCACCUCUAUUCAGCCAUCCGGAGGCCCUCUCGAUCAAAAACUAAAAAGGUGUGAACAAAAGAAGCUUCCAAUCCUUCUGGCUUUCUUCCCAAAGCCAGGAAGCAGCUCCUGAGUGGUGGAUUUUGGAUUAUAGGUGAAGCUCCCAGCAAAGGGCCUGGCCCAGAGAAAUGCUCAAGAGUAGGAUGAAAAGACUGAGGACUUCUUCCUCUACAAAAGGAAGGGUUGGGACUGAUGGACACUGAAAAGUCUAGAUCUUCACAAUCCUCAACAGUUUCACCACCAAUGCACACACAAAAUGAGUGUGCCCUAUAUUUCCAGUCCUGUGAUGAAUAUGAAAAGAGCCUCACCUUCAGGUUCCAAGUCCAGAUCUGAGACCUCACAGGGAGGGCUCACCUUCCUGGUCCCAAAGUACUUCAAAAUAUAUAAUCCUUCAAUCUUAAACAUAUACAUUUUAUUGCUUUUUAUUAUACAGUUAUACAUAUUUACUAUUGAAAAUACAGGUAAGAAAAAAAAGAAAAUGGUUCAUUGCAUUCAUUAACACUAUCCAGGUUUGAAAAAUUACUGUUCAGCAUUAUGUUGAAGAAUCUGACUCUUUUCCUAUGCAUGCAUGGAUUUCAAGCAAAAAUGGAUACUCCGGGUAUACCUUGUUUUAUAAUUUUUUUCUCCCAAAUUAAUAUAUAAUUAACAUCUUUUCAUGUCAAUCUUCAAUCCUUUCUUCUGUCACUUAUUUUUAAUGGUUAACUAGUCAUCUACUGUAUGGAUAUUCUGUAAUUUAUUUAAAAGGUCCCCCAUUGUUGAAUAGUGAAAUUGAUGAUAAGAAAGUAACAAUCUUGUUGAGAAGACAAAGCCCAUGAGAAGUAGUUUCAUGAAAUUACAAUUGGAACUUGCUAUGUGCUGAGUGGCAGAAAUGCAAUAGAGUUCUGAAGGGAAGGAGUGGUUUUUGAAUGAAGGGUCAUGGGGAGGCUUUAAAGAGUAGGUAGGGUUGGAGUCAAACUUUGAGAGAGGGGCUGGAUUUCCACAGGUUAAGAGAUUGUAUUCAAAAUAGGAGAGCCAGCAGCAGCAAAGGUGCAGAGGCCAGGGUUUGGGUAGGUGUUUAGACCCUGGGGAGAGUUUAUGUCGGGGAUCAGCUCCACAGAGGGUUAGAAAAGGAAGACAACAGAUUCCAGAGUGGAUGGCAAGUGCAAGUCUGGCAAGAGUAAAUUUUAUCUUUUUUGGGCAAUAGGGAGCCACAGAGAGUUUUUGAGCUAGGUUGUGUCAUGAGUAGAUCUGUUUUUAUGAAGUCACUGUAUAAGCAGCUAGGGAGGGAGAAUGGCAUGAGAUGGUAUCCGAGGCAGGGAGAUCUGUUAGAAGGAAGUCCAGAGGAGGUGAUGAGACCUGGAUCCAGGCUGUUGACAGGAGGUGAGGGAAAUGGCUUGGAUGUCAUGGCUGGAGAGGGCCUGAGGAAGGAGCCACUGAAUGCACUAGUCCCAGGGGCUCACAAAGAGGAGAGCCUGCUGUCUGAUAACCUGGGGUCUGGGGAAGAGUUAAUGGGCUGCCUGUGGGCGAGCUAAUUGGCUCUUCAGUGGGGCUGACUCAUCCCAGCAUCCAAGCCAGUUAUUACUAAUACUGGGGAGGGAGGGAGAGAGAAAAUAAAACAAAAGCAGAGCAGUGGGAGUUCUGUCUG
rnacentral:lncRNA from 13 species